rnacentral:rRNA from 1 species
AUUGAACGCUGGCGGCAUGCCUUACACAUGCAAGUCGAACGGUAACAGGUCUUCGGAUGCUGACGAGUGGCGAACGGGUGAGUAAUACAUCGGAACGUGCCCGAUCGUGGGGGAUAACGGAGCGAAAGCUUUGCUAAUACCGCAUAAGAUCUACGGAUGAAAGCAGGGGACCGCAAGGCCUUGCGCGAACGGAGCGGCCGGUGGCAGAUUAGGUAGUUGGUGGGAUAAAAGCUUACCAAGCUGACGAGAUGUAGCUGGUCUGAGAGGACGACCAGCCACACUGGGACUGAGACACGGCACAGACUCCUACGGGAGGCAGCAGUGGGGAAUUUUGGACAAUGGGCGCAAGCCUGAUCCAGCCAUGCCGCGUGCAGGAUGAAGGCCUUCGGGUUGUAAACUGCUUUUGUACGGAACGAAAAGACUCUUUCUAAUAAAGAGGGUCCAUGACGGUACCGUAAGAAUAAGCACCGGCUAACUACGUGCCAGCAGCCGCAGUAAUAC